rnacentral:rRNA from 1 species
GUGAGGAAUAUUGGUCAAUGGGCGGGAGCCUGAACCAGCCAAGUCGCGUGAAGGAAGAAGGAUCUAUGGUUCGUAAACUUCUUUUGCAGGGGAAUAAGUGCAGGACGUGUCCUGUUUUGUAUGUACCCUGAGAAUAAGGAUCGGCUAACUCCGUGCCAGCAGCCGCGGUAAUACGGAGGAUCCGAGCGUUAUCCGGAUUUAUUGGGUUUAAAGGGUGCGUAGGUGGUUUGAUAAGUCAGCGGUGAAAGUUUGCAGCUUAACUGUAAAAAUGCCGUUGAAACUGUCGGACUUGAGUGUAAAUGAGGUAGGCGGAAUGCGUGGUGUAGCGGUGAAAUGCAUAGAUAUCACGCAGAACUCCGAUUGCGAAGGCAGCUUACUAAGCUACAACUGACACUGAAGCACGAAAGCGUGGGGAUCAAACAGGAUUAGAAACCCCAGUAGUCC